ACAGCACAUUGUUCUUGUAAAGGGGAUCCAGCAGGGUGGCCACCCAGUAAUCAGCACAAGUUAGAAUGUGGGCAACUUGGCAGUCGUUGCACAGGCACUUUGAUGACUCUAGAUAACCUCGGGCUGAUCGCACGUCCCUGUGACGGCGACGACACAUUCGGAUGUCUGCCCUAUCAACUUUCUAUGGUACUUUUUGCCCCUACCAUGGUGACCACGGGUAACUGGGAAUCGAUUCCUG
rnacentral:rRNA from 1 species